AGAGUUUGAUCCUGGCUCAGGAUGAACGCUAGCGGCAGGCUUAACACAUGCAAGUCGAGGGGUAGAGGUUGCUUGCAACCUUGAGACCGGCGCACGGGUGCGUAACGCGUAUGCAACCUACCUUUUACAGAGGGAUAGCCCAGAGAAAUUUGGAUUAAUACCUCAUAGUAUAUAUCUUUCGCAUGUUAGGUAUAUUAAAGUUCCAACGGUAAAAGAUGGGCAUGCGUCCUAUUAGCUAGAUGGUAAGGUAACGGCUUACCAUGGCUACGAUAGGUAGGGGUCCUGAGAGGGAGAUCCCCCACACUGGUACUGAGACACGGACCAGACUCCUACGGGAGGCAGCAGUGAGGAAUAUUGGACAAUGGGCGCAAGCCUGAUCCAGCCAUGCCGCGUGCAGGAAGAAGCAUCUAUGGUGUGUAAACUGCUUUUGUACAGGAAGAAACAUCCCGACGUGUCGGGACUUGACGGUACUGUAAGAAUAAGGAUCGGCUAACUCCGUGCCAGCAGCCGCGGUAAUACGGAGGAUCCAAGCGUUAUCCGGAAUCAUUGGGUUUAAAGGGUCCGUAGGCGGUUUGGUAAGUCAGUGGUGAAAGCCCGCAGCUCGACUGUGGAACGGCCAUUGAUACUGCCAGACUUGAAUUACAAGGAAGUAACUAGAAUAUGUAGUGUAGCGGUGAAAUGCUUAGAUAUUACAUGGAAUACCAAUUGCGAAGGCAGGUUACUACUUGUGGAUUGACGCUGAUGGACGAAGGCGUGGGGAGCGAACAGGAUUAGAUACCCUGGUAGUCCAA
rnacentral:rRNA from 1 species